GAUGAAGAACGUAGCGAAAUGCGAUACGUAAUGUGAAUUGCAGAAUUCAGUGAAUCAUCGAGUCUUUGAACGCACAUUGCGCCCGCCAGUAUUCUGGCGGGCAUGCCUGUUCGAGCGUCAUUACAACCCUCAGGCCCCCGGGCCUGGCGUUGGGGAUCGGCGGAAGCCCCCUGCGGGCACAACGCCGUCCCCCAAAUACAGUGGCGGUCCCGCCGCAGCUUCCAUUGCGUAGUAGCUAACACCUCGCAACUGGAGAGCGGCGCGGCCACGCCGUAAAACACCCAACUUCUGAAUGUUGACCUCGAAUCAGGUAGGAAUACCCGCUGAACUUAAGCAUAUCAAUAAGCGGAGGA
rnacentral:misc_RNA from 1 species